UUUUAAAAAUAAAACUAUAAAAAAAAAAAAAAAAAACUGAUUUUGGAUAACAUACAGAGAUUGUUUUGAAAGCUGAUAAAAAGGAAUUUUGAAAAUAUGUUUAAUGAGAUUAUGUAACAAACUCAAGAUAAGUUUGACCCUUUUCUUGUGAAACUUCUAGAGUCAAAGCCAAACAACUCAAUUAAAUAAACCCCCUCUUAACCUCAAAUUUCAAUAACGUACUUUCAAUCUUUUCUCUGGUAAACUUCCUCUUAAAAAACCCCAACCUUGCCUUUCACUAGGAAAUCAUAGCACAGCACCAUAAUGUUUUACACCCAAAAGCUUUUCAUAAAGAGUAAUGGAUUAUUUCAAAAAAAAAAAAAAAAAUUCGGAGCCGAAUUUGCCGAGUUCGGAAGACACCUGCAACUCAUCACUUUCCAUUGUUUUGGUUUUAAUAUUUGGUCCGUUAAAUUUUUGUGUUGAUUGAUUUUCAAAAAAAAGAAAGAAAAAAAAGGGGGGGACUUCGUAUUGAUUGUUAGUAGAUUUUGGGAUUUGGGUGAUGAUGAUAAUGGGUGAUAGUGAUGAUGAUAAUGUCAGUGAUAGUGAUGAUGAUAAUGAUGGAGAUGAUGAUGAUAUAAUACGAUUCAUCUAACUCUAUAAUUAGUUGUUUAUAUUUUGUUUUUGGGGUGACUAGAUUAUGGGUUGUGAUAAAUUAAUCACACCCUCAAUUUUUUUUUUAUAUAGUCGUAUAAUUAUCUAAUUUAGAAUCGUUCAUUUGUAGACGGAGGCUACUAGGUGAACGUUCCGGAGGUUAAUUACCUUGAGUUUUACGCACGAUCAAGGUUGGUAAGAGGGUGCUAGGUUAUGUGUGAGGAGACGUUAAAAUAAUCACGUAGCUAAGACACUUUAGUUUAUUUCUGAAUUUAAUUAUUUCCUUUCAACUAUUGGUUUCAAAAUAAUUGCAGUUUUGAUGUAAUGACUAUAUUAUUUUGCCACAACUUAGACCACUUAGUUUAUUUAAAUAUUAUGUUUUUUUUGCUUUGCAUUUAUUUUAUACGGAAAAUAAGUGUAGCAGUAACACUCCCAGAGUUCGAUGGUUGGGUUUUUGAAAGUUAAAGGUUACUCUUAUUGUUUUUAAAA